CCUAUCUCUACUAAAAAUACAAAAAUUAGCUGGGCAUGGUGGCUGGCACCUGUAAUCCCAACUACUGGGGAGGCCGAGGCAGGUUCGAGAAUCGCUUGAACCCAGGAGGUGGAGGUUGCAGUGAGCCGAGAUCCCGCCAUUGCACUCCAGCUGGGGCGACAAGAGCAAAACUCUCUCUCAAAAAUAAAUAAAUAAAAUCAAAAGAGCUUACUGUCAAGUGGUAGAGAAAUAGUCAUAUAUUUAGUGCAGUAUAUACUUGUUCUCAUGGCAUGUCGUGCAAUGUGUGGGCAGAGCUCAAGAAAAAGAUCACCUAAGCUGUCCAGAGGAGUGAAGGCCGAGCCCACAGAGGAAGAAGCAUUUGAGUGGAUUCUGUCAGGGGCAAGGUGUGGUAAGUGGGAAUAACAUGUAGGCAGGUGGACUGGAAUGUGCAAAAUCUGGAUGCAUGAGAGGACUUAGUAACAUGUUCUGAGAGCUGGGAAUAACUGAGUACUACCAGGGCAUAACAUUCUGAAGGGGGAGUAGGAGAAGAUGCCAUUAGACAGAGCAGCCAUUAUCUGUCUAACAUCAGAUUAUCUUUCCCCAACUAUCUGUCCCUAAUUUUGAUGGACUGUGGAUGCCAUGCCAAUAGAACAGAUUGCAUCAUGAUGAAGACUGAGGGGCCAUCAAGGAAUGCUGAGUGGUGGAAUGAUGGGAUCAGGACCUCUGAAACACUACACCAGAGUAAAUAAAUGCCCUUGCAUCCUCCAGUUCUUCCUGGAAUCCCGCACCCUCUUCCUGAUUUGAAUGGAAACUCACUCUUACACAAGGGCAUCCUGGAAUCCCGCACCCUCUUCCUGAUUUGAAUGGAAACUCACUCUUACACAAGGGCAUCCUGGAAUCCCGCACCCUCUUCCUGAUUUGAAUGGAAACUCACUCUUACACAAGGGCAUCCUGGAAUCCCGCACUCUCUUCCUGAUUUGAAUGGAAACUCACUCUUACAUGAGGGCACGGCUUCACCUGCUUUGUCUCUUCUGAGGGAUGCUCAUUCUCCCAUCCCCAGUGCCAGCCAAAGAAGUAGCCCCGACAAACAACUUUAAAGUUUCCCAGUUCUGCUUCCAAGCCGUACACUGUUCCAGUCCUAAUAUAAACAUUGCUCCUUUGAAACCCACAUUCUCCUGCCAUAUUCUUUCUUAUAAGUGUCAUUUUCCUGGCUCAUGGAAGAGUUUAGGGCCUGGCUCCAGGUCCUCCCCUUCACCCCAAGACCUACCGUCAUCCUGACUUCUGUGUCUAUGAGGAUGACGUGUCCAACAGUCAAGCUUCAGAGUGACACUCACAGCCAUUCUACUUCAGCUACUCACACCUAUGGCCACACCCUGAUUUUGUCCUCAUCUGAAAUGGUUUCAUCUCCAGAACCUUUAACUCAAUAUGCACGCUCUGACCACAGUGUCUUAUCCUUCCAUGUCUCCAACCUCUUUGCUUUUACUGUGCCUAUUCCCUAAUUUUAAUAAGAUCUCUGGCCAUGUUGCCUCUCCAUUUGUAGUCAUCUCUCAAUCUACUUCUUUCUCAAUUUCCUUCUCCAAUCAGUCUAGAAAACAAAAUAUAUUACUUCA
rnacentral:lncRNA from 10 species